rnacentral:tRNA from 1 species
GGCACUGUAGCUCAGUUGGCAGAGCACAUGCUUAACAUCUCCCUGAUGAUCGCAUGUUGUCGUCGGUUCGAGCCCGGCCAGAGUCA